UUUGAUCCUGGCUCAGGAUGAACGCUGGCGGUCUGCUUAACACAUGCAAGUCGAACGGGCUCUUCGGAGAAUCUGCCUUCAGGUUGGGGACAACAGUUGGAAACGACUGCUAAUACCCAAUGUGCCGAGAGGUGAAAGCUUUAGUGCCUGAGGAUGAGCUCGCGUCUGAUUAGCUAGUUGGUGGGGUAACGGCCUACCAAGGCGACGAUCAGUAGCUGGUCUGAGAGGAUGAUCAGCCACACUGGGACCGAGACACGGCCCAGACUCCAACGGGAGGCAGCAGUGGGGAAUUUUCCGCAAUGGGCGCAAGCCUGACGGAGCAAUACCGCGUGAGGGAGGAAGGCUUUUGGGUUGUAAACCUCUUUUAUCAGGGAAGAAGAACUGACGGUACCUGAUGAAUCAGCAUCGGCUAACUCCGUGCCAGCAGCCGCGGUAAUACGGAGGAUGCAAGCGUUAUCCGGAUUUAUUGGGCGUAAAGCGUCCGCAGGUGGUUAUGCAAGUCUGCUGUCAAAGCGCGAGGCUUAACUUCGUAAAGGCAGUGGAAACUGUGUGACUAGAGGAUGGUAGGGGUCGCGGGAAUUCCCAGUGUAGCGGUGAAAUGCGUAGAUAUUGGGAAGAACACCAGCGGCGAAAGCGCGCGACUGGGCCAUUACUGACACUCAUGGACGAAAGCUAGGGGAGCGAAAGGGAUUAGAUACCCCUGUAGUCCUAGCUGUAAACGAUGGAGACUAG
rnacentral:rRNA from 1 species